UUUAGGAAAAAAAUAGGGUUGCAAAUAAAAUCAGUGUGGUGAUAAACCUGGCCGUGAAACUCGUUAAUAACGUCAAAUAUGGCAUCAUCGAACAAAAACCCACCGAAGAAAGGCCGCCAAUAGACCCAGGCAAAGCAUCAGCGUCCGUCUUUUAUGGCGGAAGCUUCUGGGCUUCAAGCUUUAGAGAGAAACAACGAGAUGAGGCUUCCAUGGUGACUAGAGAUUGAGAGAAGUGAGGGAGGAGUAUGGACGGAGAGGUGAUGAACUUCAUCAGAGAGGAAGGAACCAGAAGGUUCUAGAGAGAAGGGAGAGAAUUUGUUAGAGAGAGAGAGAGAGACGGUCUGUGUAAA
rnacentral:lncRNA from 1 species